AUUGAACGCUGGCGGCAAGCCUAACACAUGCAAGUCGAACGAGUGGCGGACGGGUGAGUAAUGUCUGGGAAACUGCCUGAUGGAGGGGGAUAACUACUGGAAACGGUCGCUAAUACCGCAUACCAUCGGAUGUGCCCAGAUGGGAGUAGAUAGUAGGGGGGGUAAAGGCUCACCUAGGCGACGAUCCCUCGCUGGUCUGAGAGGCUGACCAGCCACGCUGGAACUGAGACACGGUCCGGACUCCUACGGGAGGCAGCAGUGGGGAAUAUUGCACAAUGGGCGCAAGCCUGAUGCAGCCAUGCCGCGUGUAUGAAGAAGGCCUUCGGGUUGUAAAGUACUUUCAGCGGGGAGGCGUUACCCGCAGAAGAAGCACCGGCUAACUCCGUGCCAGCAGCCGCGGUAAUUC
rnacentral:rRNA from 1 species